CAAUAGCGUAUACUAACGUUGUUGCAGUUAAAAGCUCGUAGUUGGAUUUCUGUGCGGGACACGCGGCCGGCCUCUAGAGGUUGUAGCUAGUGUUGUUCUGUGCAUCUUGUCGCAAAUCCCGCUGUUAUUGAUUUAAUGGCGUGGAAGACCGACUCAUUUACUUUGAGAAAAUUAGAGUGUUCAAAGCAGGCUACCGCCUUUGAAUAUAUUAGCAUGGAAUAAUGAUAUAGGACUUUGGUUCUAUUUUGUUGGUUGUUCGAGGACCGAAGUAAUGAUUGAUAGGGACAGUUGGGGGCAUCAGUAUUCUGAAGCGAGAGGUGAAAUUCUUGGACCUUCGGAAGACUAACAGCUGCGAAAGCGUUUGCCUAGGAUGUUCUCUUUAAUCAAGAACGAAAGUU
rnacentral:rRNA from 1 species